rnacentral:rRNA from 1 species
GACGAACGCUGGCGGCGUGCUUAACACAUGCAAGUCGAACGGAAAGGCCCUGCUUUUGUGGGGUGCUCGAGUGGCGAACGGGUGAGUAACACGUGAGUAACCUGCCCUUGACUUUGGGAUAACUUCAGGAAACUGGGGCUAAUACCGGAUAGGAGCUCCUGCUGCAUGGUGGGGGUUGGAAAGUUUCGGCGGUUGGGAAUGGACUCGCGGCUUAUCAGCUUGUUGGUGGGGUAGUGGCUUACCAAGGCUUUGACGGGUAGCCGGCCUGAGAGGGUGACCGGCCACAUUGGGACUGAGAUACGGCCCAGACUCCUACGGGAGGCAGCAGUGGGGAAUAUUGCACAAUGGGCGGAAGCCUGAUGCAGCAACGCCGCGUGCGGGAUGACGGCCUUCGGGUUGUAAACCGCUUUCGCCUGUGACGAAGCGUGAGUGACGGUAAUGGGUAAAGAAGCACCGGCUAACAACGUG